AGCAGCGUGGCUCAGUGGAAAGACCACUGGGCUUAGGAGUCAGAGGUCAUGGGUUCUAAUCCCGCCUCUGCCA
rfam:Ornithorhynchus anatinus chromosome 1, whole genome shotgun sequence.